rnacentral:tRNA from 1 species
GGGUCGGUAUUCUAAUUGGUAAGAAGCUUUUUUGUCACAAAAGACGAUGUCGGAUCGAGGCCGGCUCGACCCG